rnacentral:tRNA from 1 species
GCAAUGGUUUUUCAGUGGUAGAAUUCUUGCCUUCCACACAGGAAACCCAGGUUCAAUUCCCAGCCAAUGUA